rnacentral:rRNA from 1 species
CCUACGGGAGGCAGCAGUGGGGAAUUUUGGACAAUGGGCGAAAGCCUGAUCCAGCCAUUCCGCGUGAGUGAAGAAGGCCUUCGGGUUGUAAAGCUCUUUCGCAAGGGAAGAAAACUUAGAUACUAAUAUUAUCUGAGGUUGACGGUACCUUGAUAAGAAGCACCGGCUAACUACGUGCCAGCAGCCGCGGUAAUACGUAGGGUGCGAGCGUUAAUCGGAAUUACUGGGCGUAAAGCGUGCGCAGGCGGUUUUGUAAGUCAGAUGUGAAAUCCCCGAGCUCAACUUGGGAACUGCGUUUGAAACUACAAGACUAGAAUAUGUCAGAGGGGGGUAGAAUUCCACGUGUAGCAGUGAAAUGCGUAGAGAUGUGGAGGAAUACCAAUGGCGAAGGCAGCCCCCUGGGAUAAUAUUGACGCUCAUGCACGAAAGCGUGGGGAGCAAACAGGAUUUAGAUACCCUGGUAGUCCCACGACCUAACCGACUAGUCUACUAGUUAGUUGGUUGGUAGUAAAUACUACUGUAGUAACGACAGCUAACGACGUGAAGUAAG